AUCAGUCAUAAACGACAUACGAACAUGAGGACUAGGAAUGGAGACGCUACCAAAUCGGUGACCCCUAAAAAGACGACGACGGAGAGGAAAUCCGCCACCAAAACCACACCUGAUCCUGUGACGGAAUCAACCACUCCAAAAACCGCCGAGACGAAGCGCGGUGCUGCAGCUAAAGCGAAGCAGGCAAAGAACAACGAAGCCUCACCCUUGCCGAUCAUCAGUUCCGAUUCAAAACCUGAACGUCUACAGUAGUUGAAGAAACAAAAGCAUCUAAUGAUGCAACUUUGGUGACACCUGAAGCAAAAGUUACCCCUCGCAAGAAAACAGUAGUGAAGAAGGUAGUCAAGGUUGUUAGGAAAACGUCUGGGAAGACUAAAACUCCUGCAGCAAAAGUUGCUUCUUGCCAGUCAUCAAAGACAGAUGAAUCUGUAAAGGAUCAAGAUGAAGAAAGAUCAAAGGAGGAAAUGGUGGAUGCGAAGGAUUUUGUCUCCAUGAAUAAUGGGGAAUGUGCUACUGAAAAUGUUGGAGAAUCCCCAAAGAAGGAAGAAACUACUAAUGAAGUGGGA
rnacentral:misc_RNA from 1 species